rnacentral:lncRNA from 1 species
GGAUGCCGGCGUCGGGGCCGGCUGAAGCGAAGCGAGGCGGCGCGGCAGGUGCGCCGCUGUCUCGGCUGGGCCGGGCCGAGCCGGGUGCCUGGGCCAGACUCAAAGCGAGCCUGGGUCGUCGGGCCCAGGCGGUCGUCGGGAGCGCAGGCUCCCGCUCCUCGUCCACUCGAGUCUCUCUCUCCCUCCCUUCCUUCCGCAUGUGUUCGUACGGUCAGCGGAGGCGACGCUGGCGCGCGCCAUGGUCGCAGCUCGCCGUGCUGUCGGUCGGCCCGCGGUGGCGUCCCCUCGCUCGGUGGCCGGCGUCGGCGUGAGGAGGGGGCCGCUAGUUUUGGGUCGUCCGUCGGUCGGGAGCCGCGGGUCGGUCGCGGAAGUGCCCCCGGAAGGGGUCCGCGUGGAGCGGCCCCGGCCCCCCCGCGCACGCGGGGCAGUGCCGAAAAGGCAGACAACUCUUAGCGGUGGAUCACUCGGCUCGUGCGUCAAUGAAGAACGCAGCUAGCUGCGAGAAUUAAUGUGAAUUGCAGGACACAUUGAUCAUUGACACUUAGAACGCACUUUGCGGCCCUGGGUUCCUCCCGGGGCUACGCCUGCCUGAGCGUUGCUCGAUGGUCAAUCGCCAGUGCCGCCGCCGCGGGGUGGCAGCGCAGCGCGGCUGGGGUGCCUCGCAGGCCUGCGCCGCGGCCGGGCGGCAGGCCUCCGGCGGGCAGGUGGCCCGCGGCCGCGCGAGCGUGCGGCGGGUGUUAGAGCCGCCGGGCCCGGACGCGUCGCCGAAUCCCGGGGCCGAGGGAGAAGGACCGCCGCCGCGCCCUCCGCGCCCCGCGCCCGCCUAUGGGCCGGGCCGGGGAGGCGCGCGCGGGCCGAGGAAAAUGGGGGGGGAAAAGGGGAGAGCGGCGCGUGGUCGCCGCGCACGGGCUUGUGCCGGCCCCCCUCCCUCCGUUCUUUCGUCAGUUCCCGCGGGUGGACGACGACGACGCGGUCGCUUUUCUGUCCGUCUUUUUUCCCUCCCGCCUGCCCGGCACUCUCGCCGCUUCGCCCGGGGUCCGCGGGGCCCCCGGGGGGGAGGCCCGGGCGUUAAGGGGAAGGGGGGAAGAGGCGCGCGGAAGGCUCGCGCGGUCCCGCUUCCCCGCGCCCCGCGGCGCGGGAGAUCGUCGCUCUCCCGUCUCCCUUCCCCGCUUUCCUCCCUCCCCCCCUUCCCCAUCCGGGUUGACCUGGCGGCUCCGGCCGGUCGGACACGCGCCCACCCCCCGCAUUCCCCCACGGGCUUAGCGCCAAUGUCUCGGGUAGACCUGGCGGCCUUUGGGGAGCCGGAGGGACGACUAGGCGAGCGCCAGACCCGGCAGCCGCUUCACCCGGCGGCAGCCCCCUCGUCGGGGGCUCGCCACGGGGGAGGGGGGGGGGAGGGACCGUCAGGUAGACGUGGCGGCCCCGUUCGACGGAGGCGCGCGCGUCCCCGUUCGCGACCUCGAUCGUGGGUCCGCCCGGUCCUUUCCGAGCGGCGGGUAGACCUGGCCACCCUAACGGGGCUGAGGGGGGGGCUGGUAGACCUGGCGGUCCCCGUCGGAGCGAGGCGCGCGUCCGCGUCUCGCACGGCGGGUGCGCCCGAUCGUUUCCGAGCGGCGGGUAGACCUAGAGGCCUUUGGGGAGCCCGAGGGACGACUACGCAAGCGCACGGAGUCAACGGGGUGGGUUCUCCGGGAUGCACGUGGACCCGCCGGGAUUCACCGGGGCGGCUCCUCGAGGGUGCCUGGGGUCCCGCUGGGAGUCACCGGGGUGGGUCCGCAGAGGUCCACGUGGACCUGCUGGGAUUCACCAGAGUGGGUCCUCCGGAGUGCCUGUGGACGCGCCGGGAGUCAGCGGGGUGGGUCCUCGGGGGUGCCCGUGGACUCUCUGGGAGUCAGCAGGGUGGGUCCUUGGGGAUGCCCGUGAAUCCGCUGGGAGUAACCGGGGUGGGUCCUCGGGGGUGCCCGUGGACCCACUGGGAGACACCGGGGUGGGUCCUCGGUGGUGGCUGGGGUCCCGCCGGGAGUCACCGGGUUGGGUCCUCAGGGGUGCGUGAGUCCCACUGGCAGUCACCGGGGUGGGUCCUCGGGGGUGCCCGGGGUCCCG